UGGGGAAUAUUGCACAAUGGGCGAAAGCCUGAUGCAGCAACGCCGCGUGAGUGAUGAAGGCCUUCGGGUUGUAAAGCUCUGUCUUUUGGGACGAUAAUGACGGUACCAAAGGAGGAAGCCACGGCUAACUACGUGCCAGCAGCCGCGGUAAUACGUAGGUGGCAAGCGUUGUCCGGAUUUACUGGGCGUAAAGGAUGCGUAGGCGGAUUUUUAAGUGAGAUGUGAAAUACCCGGGCUUAACUUGGGUGCUGCAUUUCAAACUGGGAAUCUAGAGUGCGGGAGAGGAGAAUGGAAUUCCUAGUGUAGCGGUGAAAUGCGUAGAGAUUAGGAAGAACACCAGUGGCGAAGGCGAUUCUCUGGACCGUAACUGACGCUGAGGCAUGAAAGCGUGGGUAGCAAACAGGAUUAGAUACCCUGGUAGUCCACGCCGUAAAACGAUGAGUACUAGGUGUAGGAGGUAUCGACCCCUUCUGUGCCGCAGUUAACACAAUAAGUACUCCGCCUGGGAAGUACGAUCGCAAG
rnacentral:rRNA from 1 species